AGAGGAGUAUUUUGGGCCACAAUGCGAAACAUCUGGCCUACAAAGCCAAGUAUGUCCAUCCUGAUGGGUCUGAGUAUGAAACAAGGUGAAGACAUGUGGGACAUUGGUCAAGAACGUGUCCAGUGAAAUAUGAAGGGAACACACGGUCGAAUGCUCCUCCAGGAAGGUUUCCCUACCCACUGCAGCCCAGGCAGAACCAGAGGUUGGGCACACCCCAGCCUCCACCGCCGCACAUGUGGUGACCACAGCGACAGAUGCCACUUGCGUUGAUGGAGACAGAGUUCUGACGAGGCCCUAAACAACUAACUGGUGACACACCGACCCCCGCUGCUUUCCAACAGCUCAGAUAAGCACCCUCAGCGUCCACGGUUUACGACUCACAUUCCAG